CAUAUUUCUUGCCUCGAAUAAAAUGAUUCCGGCUAAAAGGAUUAAGAAAAUGUAAAACGGUAAUUCUUUUUAGCCCACCAGUAUAACCCACCAUUAAACCCACCGCUGAUGUGGCGUUGACAUGGGUGAACUUUUCUGUUUCGUAGGAUUUCUCUCUGCUAUGGUGUAGUUGUUUUUUCUUUCUCUGUUAUCUCUGCUGCCAUUGAAGAACAUCUAAAGAAGAACUUAAAUCCAUCAAAGAAGAAAAAGAACUACCACUAGGAACAUCAUCGAGUACAAGGACUAAAUAUUAGAGCCAGUAACUCCGAAAGAAGCAAGGAUAAAUCGUUUACGACUUAUGGGUGUGAUAUUGGAAAGAAAAACAAGAGAAGACGAGGAAUAUAUUUCAUCUCGGAUGCAGGAAAAUACUCAAAUAAAUCAUUUGAACACGUAGAACCAUGCUGGUAACCGUGGAAGAAGCAAAAUUAAAUCAGCGUAUGUGUGUGAUAUUUGAAGAGGAGAGACAAGGGAAGACGAGAAGUGCAUACCAAAAACUCGGAUUCAGGCGUUUAUUUCUAAGCAUUUUUGUGUCCAACGGAGCUAAAGAGGAAAUUUGCAAUCAGUAGUGACACUGAAAAAUCCACGACUGGAUCUAGAACAAGCGAUAAAUAAAUAAACCGUCAGAGACAUAAAAAUAAGGUUGCAAAGGUGGGGGUCAGACAUUAAUAAGGGGUGGCCGUUUUUUACGACAAUAUGAAGUUGAUGUGUAUGCAUGCUUAGAGGAAAUGAUCAACACACUGUUCGGGCUGAGUUGUAUUGCAAAUCACAAGUUGCAUUAGUAAGAGGAGACACCGAUGGAGAAACUAAUAGAAAGAGAAUUGUAUUGCCUUCUGCUUUUACAGGUAGUCCAAGAUACAUGAUAGAGCAUUAUAAAGAUGAAAUUCCAAUCUGUAGAUGUAAGGACCUAUCCGAUAUCUUUCUAACGUUCACUUGCAAUCCAAAGUGGUCUGAGAUCCAUAGUGAGCUGUACUGAUUCGUGGGCAACGUGGAGAUAAUAGACCAGAUAUUGUGAGUAGAGUUUUUAAUUUAAAUUUAAAGGAGCUGAUGAAAGAUCUCUGUGGAAGAAUCAUUUUGGGACGGUGACUGCAAGUAUGUUUUUUAGAAUUUUUUGGUAUACAUGUUAGCUUUAUA